GGCAGGUGCAGGUUGGUGUGCCAGCACAGGCACAUUGCUCUUUCCUUUGCACUGGAGUGUCUGGAGUGCAAGAACGUCUCGGACAUGUAUGAACUGUUCCUGGACCUGGCACUGGAGAUCUGGCAAGCCAGAGACCUACGGUAAGCACUGGAGCUGUUUGUGAAGCCAGACCUGUUGUGUGGGAGAACUACCUGUGUGCAGGAUGCAACAACAGUGUCGGCAGCAAAUGCUUCAGCAUCCACUGAGCUUCUGAUGUUCACAUGCUCUCAAUUAAGUGAUUCUCCUUCUAUGAAGAGCGGAAAAUCAGCAAACCUGUGGCAUACCCAGAGGUCCUGAACAUCCACCCAUACACGUCUCAGAACAACGGGGGUCCUGUCACGUGUGGGCUCUGUGCAGUGCUGGUACACUCUGGGUACGGCUGCCAGAUGGGGCAUUACUAUUGUUAUGUGAAGGCCAGCAACGGGCAGCGAUACCAGAUGAAGAACAGCGUGGUCUGCUGUAGCACCACCAAAGCGCUCUUCAGCCAUGACGCCUACCUCCUACACUAGGCACUGGAAAACAAAGGAAAAUGCCACGAGGAGGAGGCAAUUUAGAGACAGUUUGAAACUGCUAUACUUCAAAUGUGUUGGCAUGCUGUACUUUUACCUCGGGUGUCCUGUUUUACUAACUCAGUAAUCUAAGUAAAUACAGUGAAAGAAAAAAUCAUAUCCUGAUCUUACAUUGCAUCUCCAUCUAAAAUUACCUUUAAGUUUUCUGUUAAAACCCUACAAUUUAAAUUGCUGCUCAAGCGUGGAAAAAAUAAAACCCCUCUACAUGUCAGGGGAAAACAGACUGAUCAAAAGCUAUAAAAGAGAAACGUAUGCCUGUUUUUUUGCAGAGAGGUUACCAAAUGCCAGCUUUAGAGCUGCUCCCCAGGAUUUUCUAAUUUAAAAUAAAACCAUAAUAAAGUGUAAUUUUGGAGUUUCUGUUAAUACUAA